UGUGCUGUCGUGUGGUACGUAUUUCACUCGUGAAAAUUAUUUUCUCUUAAAAUAAGACAAUUAAUUAACUAAAAUUCGGCCUGAAAUUAUGCACAAAAUGUGCCGCAAGCAAUGCUGUGAUAGUGAAGCAUUGCAGAUUGCUGUAAAAACCACCUUUUGUAACUAAAACUCCGUUUUGACAUCACUUUCAUCAUAAUCUGAAUAAAAAUAAUAAUAAUAAAUAAAAAAUACAACAAAAAA